rnacentral:rRNA from 1 species
CUACGGGGGGCAGCAGUGAGGAAUAUUGCACAAUGGGGGGAACCCUGAUGCAGCAACGCCGCGUGGAGGAUGACGCAUUUCGGUGUGUGAACUCCUUUUAUAUGUCAAGAAAAUGACGGUAGCAUAUGAAUAAGCACCGGCUAACUCCGUGCCAGCAGCCGCGGUAAUACGGAGGGUGCAAGCGUUACUCGGAAUCACUGGGCGUAAGGGACGCGUAGGCGGGUUGGAAAGUCAGGUGUGAAAUCCUACAGCUUAACUGUAGAACUGCACCUGAAACUUCUAAUCUAGAGUAUGGGAGGGGGAGAUGGAAUUAGUGGUGUAGGGGUAAAAUCCGUAGAUAUCACUAGGAAUACCUAAAGCGAAGGCGAUCUCCUGGAACAUUACUGACGCUAAGGCGUGAAAGCGUGGGGAGCAAACAGGAUUAGAUACCCGGGUAGUC